CUUCACUCUGGGACAAGCCCUGGAAACGGGGUCUAAUACCGGAUAACACUCUGUCCUGCAUGGGACGGGGUUGAAAGCUCCGGCGGUGAAGGAUGAGCCCGCGGCCUAUCAGCUUGUUGGUGGGGUAAUGGCCUACCAAGGCGACGACGGGUAGCCGGCCUGAGAGGGCGACCGGCCACACUGGGACUGAGACACGGCCCAGACUCCUACGGGAGGCAGCAGUGGGGAAUAUUGCACAAUGGGCGAAAGCCUGAUGCAGCGACGCCGCGUGAGGGAUGACGGCCUUCGGGUUGUAAACCUCUUUCAGCAGGGAAGAAGCGCAAGUGACGGUACCUGCAGAAGAAGCGCCGGCUAACUACGUGCCAGCAGCCGCGGUAAUACGUAGGGCGCAAGCGUUGUCCGGAAUUAUUGGGCGUAAAGAGCUCGUAGGCGGCUUGUCACGUCGGAUGUGAAAGCCCGGGGCUUAACCCCCGGGGUCUGCAUUCGAUACGGGCUAGCUAGAGUGUGGUAGGGGAGAUCGGGAAUU
rnacentral:rRNA from 1 species